rnacentral:lncRNA from 1 species
UUCAAAUUGGAUUAGUUGGAGGAUGUUUCAAAGUUGGAAAGUUAUGUGUGUUACCCUUGGCACUGGAUGAUUGCAACAGUAAGUGGCAACUGGGAUAUUUCUCCAGAGCUUCUACAACAACAAAUUGAGAGUUUCACAAGCACCUGGGGCCCAGCAGACGUUGGGAAGCCUAUUCUGGGACUCGCCUCCAUCUAAAUGAUUUGAAAAUUCAGCUCCUGAACACAGCCAGAUUGCUGUCAGCAAUUCGAAUAAGUUUUAACAACACUGGAUCCACCUCAAGGUUAUUUCUUCAAUAUCAUACAGAAAAUAUUGUAAAUGAAGGAAAUAUGAUGCAAAGUGGUAGUAUUCUAGUAAUCUAGUCUAUUUUUAUGAAGUCUCCCUGCUAUCUUGACUGAUGGAGAAAAAAUUUUCAUAACAAAGUCUAUUUCUUGUACAUCUGAAAUAUUCCCUACAAAAAUAACCCCUCUUUCCUGGGAUGCUAAACAUAAGACCUUAUACUUAUAUAAUAAUUCACCUAAAGGAAAUUCCUUCCUGCUUUGGCCUUCACAUUCUAUCCAAGGUCUGUAUCCAACCAGAUAGUAUUAUCUAUUCAAAUGUAACCUGGACCUCUGAUGAGCACUAACUUUUACUUCCGUGGAUAAGCAGGGGGUUUAGAUCUACAAAGUCAAUAUAUAAAGCAGCAUUCAGACCAUUGUAGUCCUUGCAAUCGCUCAAUUCAUUGAAUGAGGUAAUUUGUGUCAGAUUCAUAUGGCUGAGAUUUAUUUACAUAGAUUAAACCACUGAGUGUCAUUGGAUGUUUAAGCCUUGUUCUAAGAAUGGCACAUAAUUCAAGCAUGCUGAAUAAGAGCCAUCCCUAAAGACUAAUUCACAAGAACCAGGAUAACAUGUACCUGCUUUGUCGACUUCCAUUUAAGCAGAAUUAGAGGUUACCUUACCAGAUGCUCUAAGCACUAGUAAUGAACAUGCAUUCUCCCCCUGCGAAUAUUAUAAUAAAUUCAGAAAAAGUCCAGUUCUGACAUCCAAAGGGCAGCAAUAUUAUAUCACUGACAAUAUGCCAUUAGCAGUCAUUUUCACUUAUUACUGUUCUCUAGGCUUAGAGUGGGGUGUCCUGUUUGGUUUUAUUGCUUCUUUGUAGCAUUUCCCAAUUUGAGCUAGAGAGCUGCAUUUUUCAUAUAAGCCCUGUAAUUUU